UACAGAGGUCUCAAGCGUUGUUCGGAUUCAUUGGGCGUAAGGGUGCGUAGGUGGCGCCGUAAGUCGGGUGUGAAAUUUCGGAGCUUUAACUCCGAAACUGCAUUCGAUACUGCGGUGCUUGAGGACUGGAGAGGAGACUGGAAUUCAUGGUGUAGCAGUGAAAUGCGUAGAGAUCAUGAGGAAGACCAGUGGCGAAGGCGGGGUCUCUGGACAGUUCCUGACACUGAGCACGAAGGC
rnacentral:rRNA from 1 species